rnacentral:snRNA from 1 species
AUACUUACCUGGCGCGGGGGAUACCGUGAUCAAGAAGGCGGUGCCUCCAGGACGAGGCCUGUACAUUGCACUCCGUAUGGGCUGACUCCUGCGACUACCCCAAAUCGGGUGUGGCUCGAGCGCAUAAUUU